GUUGAACGCUGGCGGCGUGCCUAAUACAUGCAAGUCGAGCGGACGGACGAGAAGCUUGCUUCUCUGAAGUUAGCGGCGGACGGGUGAGUAACACGUGGCUAACCUACCUAUAAGACUGGGAUAACUUCGGGAAACCGGAGCUCAUACAGGAUAAUAUUUUGAACCGGAUGGUUCAAAAGAGAAAGGCGGACUUGAUGUCACUUAUACAUGGAUCCGCGCUGCAUUAGCUAGUUGGUAAGGUAACGGCUUACCAAGGCAACGAUGCAUAGCCGACCUGAGAGGGUGAUCGGCCACACUGGAACUGAGACACGGUCCAGACUCCUACGGGAGGCAGCAGUAGGGAAUCUUCCGCAAUGGGCGAAAGCCUGACGGAGCAACGCCGCGUGAGUGAUGAAGGUCUUCGGAUCGUAAAACUCUGUUAUUAGGGAAGAACAUAUGUGUAAGUAACUGUGCACAUCUUGACGGUACCUAAUCAGAAAGCCACGGCUAACUACGUG
rnacentral:rRNA from 1 species